CUACGGGAUGCUCCAGUGGGGAAUAUUGCACAAUGGAGGAAACUCUGAUGCAGCAACGCCGCGUGGAGGAUGACACUUUUCGGAGCGUAAACUCCUUUUAUAUAGGAAGAAGAUGACGGUACUAUAUGAAUAAGCGCCGGCUAACUCCGUGCCAGCAGCCGCGGUAAUACGGAGGGCGCAAGCGUUACUCGGAAUCACUGGGCGUAAAGAGCGUGUAGGCGGAUUAAAAAGUCAGAAGUGAAAUCCUAUAGCUUAACUAUAGAACUGCUUCUGAAACUCUUAAUCUAGAAUAUGGGAGAGGUUGAUGGAAUUUCUGGUGUAGGGGUAAAAUCCGUAGAGAUCAGAAGGAAUACCGAUUGCGAAGGCGAUCUACUAGAACAUUAUUGACGCUGAGACGCGAAAGCGUGGGGAGCAAACAGGAUUAGAUACCCCCGUAGUC
rnacentral:rRNA from 1 species